UAACGCGUAGGAAUCUGCCUGGUAGUGGGGGACAACAUGUGGAAACGCAUGCUAAUACCGCAUACCCCCUACGGGGGAAAGGAGGGGAUCUUCGGACCUUUCGCUAUCAAAUGACCCUGCGUGAAAUUAGCUAGUUGGUGGGGUAAAGGCUCACCAAGGCGACAAUCUCUACCUGGUCUGAAAGGAUGAUCACCCACACUGGGACUGAAACACGGCCCAAACUCCUACGGGAGGCAGCAGUGGGGAAUAUUGGACAAUGGGCGCAAGCCUGAUCCACCCAUGCCGCGUGUGUGAAAAAGGCCUUCGGGUUGUAAAGCACUUUCAAAGGUGAGGAAGGGUGCGUAGUUAAUACCU
rnacentral:rRNA from 1 species